AUCUAUACCACCCUGAACACACCCGAUCUUGUCUGAUCUCAGAAGCUAAGUAGGGUCGGGCCUGGUUAGUACUUGGAUGGAAGACAAAAUAACUUUUUAAGUCCAAAAAGUUU
rnacentral:rRNA from 1 species